GGCCCGGUGGCGGAGCGGAGACGCAAAGGCCGUGCAUGGUCUUCCAGCCUGGUUCGAAUCCAGGCCGGGCCUCCA
rnacentral:tRNA from 1 species